rnacentral:rRNA from 11 species
ACCCACUAGCUACCUAAACCCUUAAAGAGCUGGAUCCCAUUCGAUUUCGGGAGCUAAGCAGGAUUAGCUCUGGUUGGUGCUUGCAUGGGAGAACACAAAUUAAUACCAGGGGUUGUGGGCU